rnacentral:sRNA from 1 species
UGGUGGCUAUUUGAGAGGCUGAGGCAGGAGAAUCAUUUGAACCCAGGAGGUGAAGGUUGCAGUGAGCCAAGAUCACACCAUUGCACUCCAGUCUGGGUGACAAGAGCGAAACUCUAUCUCAAAAAAAAGAAAAAAGAAACAAGAUCUUCAAGCUUAAGGAAACAAAAACAAAACUCAGCUGUGUUAAAUCUGUUUUUAGUUGCUAUACAUUUCUGCUCAGCUUCAUGUGAUGCACAUUCAUGUAAUUGUAUCCUAAAUUCCUUUGUACUUUUUAUUUUCUUCCUUGGUCUUCAAUUAUCUUAAGACUACCAAGAAAACAAAAAUUUUAAAAAUCUUCUUCAGCCGAUCAGGCGCAGUGGCUCACGGCUGUAAUCCCAGCACUUGGGGAGGCUGAGGCGGGCAGAUCACGAGGUCAGGAGUUCAACACCAGCCUGGCCAACAUUGUGAAACGUCGUCUCUACUAAAAAUACAAAAAUUAGCUGGGCAUUGUGGCGCGUUCUUGUAAUCCCAGCUGCUCGGGAGGCUGAGGCAGGAGAAUUGCUUGAACCAGGACCCGGGAGGUGUAGGUUGCGGUGAGCGGAGAUCGCGCCACUGCACUCCAGCCUGGGCUAUAGAGCGAGACUCCAUUUAAAAAAAAAAAAAAAAAAUCUGCUUCAGCUAUUCUGUUAAUCUUUUGACAUUACUUAGAUGGUCUGGAAAUAAAUUUUGAGAAUAACAUGAUUAGAAGUGAGAGAGUAUAAGCAUAGUUUUGGAGAUACACUCAGAAUAGCAUUAUAGAUUUGCUCUUUUUACUAAUUGGAAAAAUGGCAGUUGUUGAAUAAUAGUUUUCUUCCGUGACCCUUGUGACUUAAAAAAAAAAAAAAACACUGAAAUGAAAUAAUCGAACCAUUUUCUCUAAACCUUUGAAUCUGAGCUCUGCAGUUAGGUUUAUAAUGGUAUAUGAAACCUAUUAGAUAUAUACUUGGAAGUCAUAUGGGAUACAAACCCUGCUUUUAUUAUCUUCCCCUUUUGACUAACUUGGGUCUCAAGUUUCCUUAAUUACUGCACAGUGGACCUUGAUGUUGCUAUAAAGAAUGUGUAGGGCUGGGCAUGGUGGCUCAUGCCUGUAAUCCCAGCACUUUGGGAGGCCAAGGUAGGCAGAUCACCUGAGGUCAGGAGUUUGAGACCAGCCUGGCCAGCAUGGUGAAACCCCGUCUCUACUAAAAAUACAAAAAAAUUAGCUGGUUGUGGUGGCGAGUGCCUUUAAUCCCAGCUACUCCAGAGGCUGAGGCAGGAGAAUCACUUGAUACAUUUAGUUAGGAGAGAAAAUCAUACUUAUGUUAGUAAUUGCUGCUGUUCUUCAUAUACUUGUGGUUUUGAUUGCCAGCAAAUUCCUAACAUUUUGGAAAAGAAAACAGUAAUGGGAUAAAGGGUAAGGGCUAGAGAGGACUGUUUUAUUUACCUAGAUCUUCAGAGAAGCCUGAAGCCUCUUUUAGGAAGUAACAUUUGAACUGAGAAUGUAAUAAAUACAUUUUCCCUUUCUUCUAGUUCCAAGAUUAUCCCCUAAAACUCAUAGACCCAGGUCUCCCAGACAGAACAGUAUUGGAAAUACCCCCAGUGGGCCAGUUCUUGCUUCUCCCCAAGCUGGUAUUAUUCCAACUGAAGCUGUUGCCAUGCCUAUUCCAGCUGCAUCUCCUACGCCUGCUAGUCCUGCAUCGAACAGAGCUGUUACCCCUUCUAGUGAGGCUAAAGAUUCCAGGCUUCAAGAUCAGAGGCAGAACUCUCCUGCAGGGAAUAAAGAAAAUAUUAAACCCAAUGAAACAUCACCUAGCUUCUCAAAAGCUGAAAACAAAGGUAUAUCACCAGUUGUUUCUGAACAUAGAAAACAGAUUGAUGAUUUAAAGAAAUUUAAGAAUGAUUUUAGGUUACAGCCAAGUUCUACUUCUGAAUCUAUGGAUCAACUACUAAACAAAAAUAGAGAGGGAGAAAAAUCAAGAGAUUUGAUCAAAGACAAAAUUGAACCAAGUGCUAAGGAUUCUUUCAUUGAAAAUAGCAGCAGCAACUGUACCAGUGGCAGCAGCAAGCCGAAUAGCCCCAGCAUUUCCCCUUCAAUACUUAGUA